GCUGGUGUGGCUCAGUUGGUAGAGCAAUUGAUUCGUAAUCAAUAGGUCGGGGGUUCGAAUCCCUUCACCAGCACCA
rnacentral:tRNA from 1 species